UUAGGGGUUUCUGGUUUUUCAAGAAAUGAAUUUAAUUCAUACGUCUUAUUUAGAGUUUUAUUAUUUGUUUAUUUAUUUUUAUUUGGCGUUAAGAUUGGGAGGGAUUAGCUUCUUAUUUUAUUUUUAUAAUUUUUUGUUUAUUUGAUCUUGUGGGUUUUAUAGUGAUUUUCAAUUUGAUUAUGUUAAAAUUUUAUUUGUUUUAUUCUUUAUUUUUUGUUUAUUUAAUUAUUUAUUGAAAUGUGUUUUUUAUCUUGUUUUGGUUAGUAAUUAUUGUAGAAUUAGUAAAUUUGUUGUUAGGUUGUUUUAUUUGUGUUAAUUUUCUUUGAGGAACUAGGCAAAUUUCAUGUCCGCCUGUUUAACAAAAACAUCUUUUCUCGUUAGUUUUUGAAGUAUGGCCUGCCCGCUGACUUGGUGUUGAAGGGCCGCGGUAUUUUGACCGUGCAAAGGUAGCAUAGUCAUUAGUUCUUUAAUUGUGAUCUGGUAUGAAUGGCUUGACGAGGCAUGGGCUGUCUUAAUUUUGAAUUGUUUAUUGAAUUUGGUCUUUGAGUUAAAAUUCUUAGAUGUUUUUAUGGGACGAGAAGACCCUAUAGAGUUUAACAUUUAUUAUGGUCCUUUUCUGUUUGUGAGGGUUCACUGGGCUAUCUAAUAUGUUUUGUUGGGGUGAUAGGAGGGAUUAAUUUAA
rnacentral:rRNA from 1 species